UUGCACUUCUAAGAUCUUGAUUUGUCUGACCUCUUCUCUCUUCAACACCUUUGAAAAUGUCUGGCCCUUCCGACCGUCGUUUUGACUUGAACCUUGUUGAAGAGGCAGUUACGCCUUCUCCCCUACUGGUCCUCUUACCGUUGGGGAUUCCGUGAUGAAGAAUGAUAUGACCGCUGCGGUGGUGGCCAAGAACCUUCUCACUCCCAAAGAUAACAG
rnacentral:lncRNA from 1 species